rnacentral:misc_RNA from 1 species
CGCACAUUGCGCCCCUUGGUAUUCCGAGGGGCAUGCCCGUCCGAGCGUCAUUUAAACUCUCAAGCUCCGCUUGGUCUUGGGGGAGGCCUCGCGGCCCCCCCGUAACCCGUGGGCGGGACCGUCAGUCUCCAGGCGUAGCAGAAAACGUCGUCUCGGGGACCCGGCGGCCCUCGCCCGGGAACGUCACCUCAAAGUUUGACCUCGGAUCGGGUAGGGAUACCCGCUGAACUUAA